rnacentral:tRNA from 1 species
CAGAGCGUAGCUAAGCAGUACAGCAUCUCCCUUACACCGAGAAGACACCCGUGCAAGCCGGGUCGCACUGAC